CCAUAUCCAGGAGGGGAAGAUGUCUCAAUGCACUCAUUUGAAACUGGAUAGAGUAAUAGAAUCCAUGCUUCGGGAUGUCCAUAAGCUAGACCAAAUAGAAGCUGGGAUGCAAGAGAUGAAAAAACGUGAGGAAAUGUAUGCUCAACAACGGAAGGAAACGUUUGUAGGGGCCUCUGUUAUCGCCUCUGGGAUCGCUGGCCUCGUCUUUUGUGUUAAGAAAGUAGUAUUUGGUUGAGUCAAGGAGUAAACCAUCGUAGGGGUUUGUACUGUUAUUAAGUCAUGAUGACACUUUAGCUUGCAAGCCGUGGCUAACUAAAACCAUUUCGUGCUGUAACUUUGGGAUCUGCUUUGAGAUGUGACUAAUUAAAUCAACUGUAAAUAGAACCGAAACAUGCCAAUAAACAGUGGAUGUCAUGUUCUCCUCAGGGACUGGCAACGAA